rfam:Triticum aestivum genome assembly, contig: Triticum_aestivum_CS42_TGACv1_scaffold_063445_1DL
CAACUACUCCCUCCGUCCCAAAAUUCUUGUCUUAAAUUUGUCUAGAUACGGAUGUAUCUAAUACUAAAAUGUGACUUGAUGCGUUCGUAUUUAGACAAAUCUAAGACAAGAAUUUUGGGACGGAGGGAUUACUGG